CGGAGGGCACGGAGGUUCCCACGCUCCGGCCCCGGGCCGGGGGCGUUCUCAGGCCGGCGUGGCCGCGCUCGCCACCGCCGCCGAGGCCAGGCUGUAAUUAGGGUAAUUGCGCGGCUCCGCGCCCGGGGGCAGUGCAGGACCCUGGCUGCGCAGCGCUAGCCCGGGAUGGGCAGGGACAGCGGGGGCUGGGAAGUGUCGCAGCCUGGUCCUCCAGAGAGUGCCCUGUGCUGCUCGGGGUGGUCUUCAGUUCCUUUGUAGCUAGGAAUGACCUUUAACUCCUGAAGAGCCUCAGCCCUCACCCUCCAAGCGUCACGGGCCUUCACCGCCACACUUGGCCUACCUGUGGUUAUCACUUCAAUGUCUACAUAAGUGCUAUGAAGGGCUGGAGCGAUGGCUCAGCUCUUAAGAACAUUGUUGGCGCCUACGAUGGGAGGACACAACCACCUGCAAUUUCAGCUCCAGGAGACUCUUGGGACUUCUUUUGGCCUCCAAAUGUAACUGCACACUUGCGCACACCC